CAACCUGCCCUUUACUCCGGGAUAGUCUCCUGAAAGGGAGUUUAAUACCGAAUGUGUUUGUCUUUCCGCAUGGGAGCGACAAAUAAAGAUUAAUUGGUAAAGGAUGGGGAUGCGUCCCAUUAGCUUGUUGGCGGGGUAACGGCCCACCAAGGCGACGAUGGGUAGGGGUUCUGAGAGGAAGGUCCCCCACAUUGGAACUGAGACACGGUCCAAACUCCUACGGGAGGCAGCAGUGAGGAAUAUUGGUCAAUGGGCGGGAGCCUGAACCAGCCAAGUAGCGUGAAGGACGACGGCCCUACGGGUUGUAAACUUCUUUUAUAAGGGAAUAAAGUUCGCCACGUGUGGUGUUUUGUAUGUACCUUAUGAAUAAGCAUCGGCUAAUUCCGUGCCAGCAGCCGCGGUAAUACGGAAGAUGCGAGCGUUAUCCGGAUUUAUUGGGUUUAAAGGGAGCGUAGGCGGGCUUUUAAGUCAGCGGUCAAAUGUCGUGGCUCAACCAUGUCAAGCCGUUGAAACUGUAAGCCUUGAGUCUGCACAGGGCACGUGGAAUUCGUGGUGUAGCGGUGAAAUGCUUAGAUAUCACGAAGAACUCCGAUUG
rnacentral:rRNA from 1 species